UACGUAGGGGGCAAGCGUUGUCCGGAUUUAUUGGGCGUAAAGAGCGUGUAGGCGGCCAUGCAGGUCCGUUGUGAAAACUCGAGGCUCAACCUCGAGACGCCGGUGGAAACCGCAUGGCUAGAGUCCGGAAGAGGAGAGUGGAAUUCCUGGUGUAGCGGUGAAAUGCGCAGAUAUCAGGAAGAACACCGAUGGCGAAGGCAGAUCUCUGGGCCGUAACUGACGCUGAGGAGCGAAAGCAUGGGGAGCGAACAGG
rnacentral:rRNA from 1 species